AAGACUGGGAUAACUCCGGSAAACCGGGGCUAAUACCGGAUGCUUGUUUGAAYCGCAUGGUUCAGACAUAAAAGGUGGCUUCGGCUACCACUUACAGAUGGACCCGCGGCGCAUUAGCUAGUUGGUGAGGUAACGGCUCACCAAGGCGACGAUGCGUAGCCGACCUGAGAGGGUGAUCGGCCACACUGGGACUGAGACACGGCCCAGACUCCUACGGGAGGCAGCAGUAGGGAAUCUUCCGCAAUGGACGAAAGUCUGACGGAGCAACGCCGCGUGAGUGAUGAAGGUUUUCGGAUYGUAAAGCUCUGUUGUUAGGGAAGAACAAGUGCCGUUCAAAUAGGGCGGCACCUUGACGGUACCUAACCAGAAAGCCACGGCUAACUACGUGCCAGCAGCCGCGGUAAUACGUAGGUGGCAAGCGUUGUCCGGAAUUAUUGGGCGUAAAGGGCUCGCAGGCGGUUUCUUAAGUCUGAUGUGAAAGCCCCCGGCUCAACCGGGGAGGGUCAUUGGAAACUGGGGAACUUGAGUGC
rnacentral:rRNA from 1 species